rnacentral:rRNA from 1 species
AGGCUUAACACAUGCAAGUCGAGGGGAAACGACAUCGAAAGCUUGCUUUUGAUGGGCGUCGACCGGCGCACGGGUGAGUAACGCGUAUCCAACCUGCCCAUCACUUGGGGAUAACCUUGCGAAAGUAAGACUAAUACCCAAUGAUAUCUCUAGAAGACAUCUGAAAGAGAUUAAAGAUUUAUCGGUGAUGGAUGGGGAUGCGUCUGAUUAGCUUGUUGGCGGGGUAACGGCCCACCAAGGCAACGAUCAGUAGGGGUUCUGAGAGGAAGGUCCCCCACAUUGGAACUGAGACACGGUCCAAACUCCUACGGGAGGCAGCAGUGAGGAAUAUUGGUCAAUGGACGAGAGUCUGAACCAGCCAAGUAGCGUGCAGGAUGACGGCCCUAUGGGUUGUAAACUGCUUUUAUAAGGGAAUAAAGUGAGUCUCGUGAGACUUUUUGCACGUACCUUAUGAAUAAGGACCGGCUAAUUCCGUGCCAGCAGCCGCGGUAAUACGGAAGGUCCGGGCGUUAUCCGGAUUUAUUGGGUUUAAAGGGAGCGUAGGCCGGAGAUUAAGCGUGUUGUGAAAUGUAGAUGCUCAACAUCUGAACUGCAGCGCGAACUGGUUUCCUUGAGUACGCACAAAGUGGGCGGAAUUCGUGGUGUAGCGGUGAAAUGCUUAGAUAUCACGAAGAACUCCGAUUGCGAAGGCAGCUCACUGGAGCGCAACUGACGCUGAAGCUCGAAAGUGCGGGUAUCGAACAGGAUUAGAUACCCUGGUAGUCCGCACGGUAAACGAUGGAUGCCCGCUGUUGGUCUGAAUAGGUCAGCGGCC